UACGUAGGGUGCGAGCGUUAAUCGGAAUUACUGGGCGUAAAGCGUGCGCAGGCGGUUUUGUAAGCCAGGUGUGAAAUCCCCGGGCUCAACCUGGAAUGGCAUUUGGGACUGCAAGGCUGGAGUGCGGCAGAGGAGACUGGAAUUCCUGGUGUAGCAGUGAAAUGCGUAGAUAUCAGAGGAACACCGAUGGCGAAGGCAGGUCUCCGUGGGCUGAACACUGACGCUCG
rnacentral:rRNA from 1 species